UACGGAGGGGCUAGCGUUGUCCGAAGUUACUGGCGUAAAGCGCGCGUAGGCGGGUUGGUAAGUCCGCUGUGAAAGCCCGGAAGCUUAAGCUCCGGACGGGUCGGUGGAUACUGCCAGUCUUGAAGGUGCUAGGGGGAGAGUGGAAUUACCGGUGUAGCGGUGAAAUGCGUAGAUAUCGGUAGGAACACCAGUGGCGAAGGCGGUCUCCUGGGGCAUUCUUGACGCUGAGGCGCGAAAGCUGGGGGAGCAAACGGG
rnacentral:rRNA from 1 species